rnacentral:rRNA from 1 species
GACGAACGCUGGCGGCGUGCCUAAUACAUGCAAGUCGAGCGGAAUGAAGAAGAAGCUUGCUUCUUCUGAUUUUAGCGGCGGACGGGUGAGUAACACGUGGGCAACCUACCUUGUAGAUUGGGAUAACUCCGGGAAACCGGGGCUAAUACCGAAUAAUCCAUUUUGCUUCAUGGCGAGAUGUUGAAAGACGGUUUCGGCUGUCACUACAAGAUGGGCCCGCGGCGCAUUAGCUAGUUGGUAGGGUAAUGGCCUACCAAGGCGACGAUGCGUAGCCGACCUGAGAGGGUGAUCGGCCACACUGGGACUGAGACACGGCCCAGACUCCUACGGGAGGCAGCAGUAGGGAAUCUUCCACAAUGGACGAAAGUCUGAUGGAGCAACGCCGCGUGAGUGAAGAAGGUUUUCGGAUCGUAAAACUCUGUUGUAAGGGAAGAACACGUACGAGAGUAACUGCUCGUACCUUGACGGUACCUUAUUAGAAAGCCACGGCUAACUACGUG